CUUUCUUUGUAUGGCUUAGAAGUGAUGUUGUCUUUAUAUUGUGUUAUUUGUUCUUAACUUUACAUUAUCAGCUCUGGUGUGCUUACCUUUUUCACCAACGUGUCUUCUACCCUACUUACCUCAUAAGUGAAUCUAAUACAGAGGUUAUUUUGGAUAUAAUCAUUAUCUUAACAGGCAAGAUAGUGGGCUGUGCUAUUUCAAACCCUAAAUUUGGCUUUCAGGAUUAUGAAGUAUUAAUUCUUCCACUGAUAUCUCAAAAGGUGAUCUGGACAAAGGAACAGGUAUCUCAGCAGCAGCCUGCUCUUCUUUUGCAAUCUCUUCAGGAUCUCUGUAGAAGUAGAGAUCAGGC
rnacentral:lncRNA from 1 species